CGAAAUAUGAGCUUUGUCAAGAGAAUAUAUGCGGUUCUAACAAAUAUAAGGGUCGUGUUGAGACUGGAAAUUGAUAUUGUUUGCUUGCAUGGAUUACUGUAGUUGUGUCAAGGAAACAUUUCAAUCAAUAUUUCUGUAAAUCCAAGCCGCACCACGUGGGUUGGGUUUGUCCAAUCGGUGCAAAGCUGUGAUACACGAAAGUAUGCUCUUUGUUCUGGAUUUUGCAAAGUUAUACGGUCUAAUUAACUUUAAUACAACAACAUGUGGACAAAUGAUAUCAUGUGUUACCGCAAGAUGACAAUCCGGAUACAUCAAUAUCUUUUUUCCUGGAGCAGUUGUGUAGCCUCCAACCUUUGGCAAACAGUGCGCCAUUAGCUUAUUUAUCACAUGACUUCCCUUCCCCCCACUUCACUGAAUGAGGAAGAAGUCGGACAUGUUGGAGGAAAAUGUGUUGAAAAAAAACGAUCGUGGUGAAGGACAAGGAGAUUUUUGAAGGAAAGUUUUACUCUGCGUAAUGGAUUUACAAAUCGAGAUUUUUUAGUAGUUAAUUUUUAUGUAACCCUGGGAAUCAAUUUGCAAAAUGUAUUUUUUUCCUUCAUAUUUACUCACGAUUAAGAACAUCAAUGCAUGGUUUAAUUCAAUGUUCAUUGUAUUUAGAGGCUUUUAAAUGUAUAAUUUUUGUCCGUAUAUAUUGAAAAUCGUGAGAAUUUAGUUCAGUGACAUUGGAGAGAACGUGUAACCUUGGUGUGGGGGAUGGGUAUUAGCAUUAGGGAACCAUUUUGUACAGCUCUUAACUACUUUAUUCUUAACGAGUUUAUUUUGUUGUCGAAGGUUGGCAUUUUGCUGAUUCAUUGGUAGUUUGUUGCACGUGGACUUGGUAGAAUGAGUAUCUUGUCGGUAUAUGAUAGGAACUGUUUGGGGAUUUAGUUUGUCUGAAUGUAGGUUUUCUGUUUGGGUUUUCUCUGGGCAGCUCAUGUUGGGAGAUUGUAAGGCUUAUAAAUUACGAUUUUAGUUGAAGUGUUCAAAUCGUGGAUGCGGCCUACAUAGGUGUUAUUGAAGCAGAGCAACAUGGCUCUAAAAUUCUUAAAACUGAUGCAACCUUUGUGCUUGAAGUGUCUCAUAGUAAUUCUUAAAGUGAUUGUUAUCCGAAACUCUUAUCUACUUUGAUAACCAUUUCAGCAAGAGAGAAAUGCUGUGUCAUUCAAUGGAGGGCAAUUUCCUUUACCACUUUGGCUUAGGGUGGAAGUUUGCCUUAGAAGACAUUUAAAAACACCAGCUUCAGUGCGAGUUAUAGUAUUUUAUCCAUCAGAUGUUAAGCCAAUAAUAGUAUGGUAUGUAUUUAAGUUCUGAAAUAUUAGGCCUUUAUAAUGAUAGCCUUUUACAGUUGUCUGUAAAAUUGUCAUCUUGGUUAAAUGUAGCUAGGUCAAACAGCACGUGGCUCUUACUUGGUAUACGAGUAGUUUAGAACUAGGCGUUAUUGAUCGCCUUUGUUUCAAUGCAGGGAGUGGUAUUUCUUGCACAUUGUGACACCAUCUCAGGCUAAUAAUUUGUAUGCAGACAGUAAGUUCGUGUGCACUCUUUGCACUUCAAGAUGGCGCUCCAACACUUGGGAAGGACUAAAAUGCGGCUACUCGGAGAGAAAUGUGUCGUUGAGCGCUCGGCCUACGUUUGGCAUCUGAUAGAUACGCGUGACCGGACUCGCUAACCAAUGGCUUGCUUUCUGUUUACUCUGGAAGUUCGCGCUAGAGAUUCAGCGACCAAUCAUUAUCGUUUCUCUGCCCACGUUGACGUAAUGUAAUUUGAUGAGUGAAAGGGCGGGUUUUGGGAUGUCGCAUUUCGUAAAAGAGUAGCUACGUAAAACAACCACAAAAAGUGUGAGUGAUGGGAGGUCUAGUCAGUGAUAACGAGAAUUUUGUUUGAUUGACAAUAACAAUAUGCGAAUAGGUUGGAUGAAAAGCAUAAUAGAAAAACAAAGUUAUUUGGGGGGCUGUGCUAAAUCUGGCGGACGUAUUCAUCUGCGAAUAGAAAAUACGGGGCGUAGUCUUAAGUUACGGUAUCCAAUAGGAUGAAUGGUUGGUCUAUAAAGUAUCGGGCGUAGACGUGAGUUGCCAUUUCGCUGAAGCAGUGGUCAGUCUAGUGCUGUGGGGGCUGGAGGAAAGGACGGGCGAAGCAGGAACUUGAAUAUUGGUAUUUAAACAGAAUCCGGAUCCAUCCUGAUGGAGACGGCCAUAAACCCGCCCCAUGACAGCUCCCUGGGCGGGGUCGACGUAGGCCUGCAGGGCGUCAUGACGAUGGAGCAGGGCCCUCCGGGCCCCGGGAAGCGCAUCCGGAAACCGUCACUGCUGUUUGAGGGAUUCGAGGGCCCGCCUUUGCUCCCCCAUGGGCAAGCGCCCCCCUCUGGGUCACCACGGCCCCUAGUAUACGACACCAACCGGCAGGGCCGCGCCACCAACCAGCUGCAGUUCCUCCAGAGAGCCAUGAUGAAGUCCCUGUGGAGGCACCACUUCGCAUGGCCCUUCCAUGAGCCUGUGGACGCCUCCAAGCUCAGCCUGCCUGACUAUCACAAGAUCAUCAAACAGCCCAUGGACAUGGGGACCAUCAAGAGGCGUCUGGAGAACAACUACUACCGCAGCGCCAGCGAGUGCAUGCAGGACUUCAACACCAUGUUCACCAACUGCUACAUCUACAACAAGCCAACAGAUGACAUUGUUCUGAUGGCCCAGUCCCUGGAGAAGGCUUUCCUUCAGAAGGUUGCCCAGAUGCCCCAGGAGGAGAUAGAACUGCCCCCUCCUCCCCCACGGGGCAAACCGGGCAAGCCAGGCAAAGGACGCAGAGCCGCAGUACCAGGAGGAGUGACCACUGCUCACCAGGUCCCGGCAGUGUCCCAGUCCGCGUACUCUCCCCCUACGCCGGACACCCCGGAGUCGCUGCUCUCCACCCCCCCACAGACACUCCAGGCCAAGAGUUUACCUCCUACCCUCCACAGUACUCCUGCUAUGCUAGGCUUACCCCCAACACAGCCCACAGCCAAGAAAAAGGGUGUGAAGCGGAAAGCAGACACCACCACACCCACCACCAUGGCCAUGCCCAUACCCAUCACCAUGGGCGUUGGCGGGAUUGGCAUGGGCAUGGUCGGUGGACCCGACUCCCCGUUGACACUAACCUCACUGGGGGUAGGCCAAGGCCUGGGCCUCGGCAUGGGGAUGGGUAUUGGUAUGGGCCGCGGCAGAGGCAUGGCGGGCGUCAAAGCAGCUGCAGGGAGGCGGGGAGUCAGCGGGCGCCCUAUCAAGCCCCCGAAGAAAGACCUGCCUGACUCGGUGCAGCUCCAGCCGGUGCGACGAGGCAAACUGGGCCAGCAGCUCCGGUACUGCAACGGGAUUCUCAAAGAGCUGCUGUCCAAGAAACACGCGGCGUACGCCUGGCCUUUUUACAAACCAGUGGACGCCUCCAUGCUGGGCCUACACGACUACCACGACAUCAUCAAGCAGCCCAUGGACCUCAGCACCAUCAAGAGGAAAAUGGACAGUCGAGAGUACCGGGACGCCCAGCAGUUUGCCGGUGACGUCAGGAUAAUGUAUUCUAACUGCUAUAAGUACAACCCUCCAGACCAUGACGUGGUAACCAUGGCACGCAAACUACAGGACGUCUUUGAGUUCUGCUUUGCCAAGAUGCCCGACGAGCCUGCGGCCCCUCCCGCUUCCAUGGGUGGACGCUCCUCAUCUUCUUCCUCUUCCUCCGUCCUCGUCUGAGAGCGACCCCAGCAGCGAGAGCGAGAGCGACAGCAGCCCCAGCUCGGACAGCGAGGAGGAGCGUGCACACCGCCUGGCCGAGCUGCAGGAACAGGUGUGUACACAGCUGAAAGCAGUUCAUGAGCAGCUGGCCGCACUCUCCCAGGGCCCCAUCGUCAAGCCUAAGAGGAAGAAAGAGAAGAAGGACAAGAAGAAGAAGAAGAAGCCCGAGAAGCAUCGGGGAAGCCGGGUGCCAGUUGAAGAGGAUAUGCCCAUCCGGCCGCCCAAAACGCCCAAGGUCACCAAGACGUCGAAGAUGCCGAAGACACCUAAGACCAAGAGCAGCAAAGGGGGCUCCACACAGGGCAAGAGGGGCACUGGCAAGAAGAGCAACAAGAGCAAGUCCUCCAAGAAGUCGCAGGCGGUGAUGCUCAGCAUGCACCAGAUGAGCGCUGCCGCCAUGCUCCCCCACUACGACUCAGAGGAGGAGGACGAGGUGUCGCCCAUGAGCUACGAUGAGAAGCGCCAGCUCAGCCUGGACAUCAACAAGCUGCCCGGGGAGAAGCUGGGCCGCGUGGUUCAUAUCAUCCAGGCGCGCGAGCCAUCGCUGCGCGACACUGACCCAGAGGAGAUCGAGAUAGACUUUGAGACGCUCAAGCCGUCCACGCUGCGUGAGCUGGAACGCUACGUUAUGACCUGCCUCCGCAAGAAGCCUCGCAAACCCUAUGUAGGGAAGAAAGGUGGAGCAGGGAAGUCCCGGGAGGAGUUGGCUCUGGAGAAGCAGUUGGAACUGGAGCAGAGGUUGCUGGAUGUCAGCGGGCAGCUCAACUCUGGCAAGAAGCCUCAGAAAACCAAAGCAGAGAAGCCCAGUGCUGUGGAGCCCCAUGCCGUGGCGUCUCGCCUCAGCGCUAGCAGCUCCAGCUCAGACUCUUCUUCCUCUUCCUCAUCGUCGUCCUCUGACACCAGUGACUCGGACUGAAUGCUCUGGAAGGACGGGCCUGGAUCCCGCGAACCCCGGAUAGGACAGUGCAGAACUGCUAACAGAGCCGCAGGCGGAUCAGACUAUAGUCAGAACUGACCUGGAAUUAAGAGAAAGCGUUCCCUGUGUUCAGAGAUGCCAAACCCAACAGAAAUAGUGGAUGGAGAAAUAUUGAGUUGUUUCAUUGCUUUAGAAACCUAGAGGGUUGACAGAGAGAUGAUGCAUCAUCUCAUUGGAAAAAGUGCCCACGGUAGGAUCUCUACAGGCUCUAGAAAGACGGCAGGAUCUCUACAGGCUCUAGAAAGACGGCAGGAUCUCUACAGGCUCUAGAAAGACGGCAGGAUCUCUACAGGCUCUAGAAAGACGGCAGGAACUCUACAGGCUCUAGAAAGACGGCAGGAUCUCUACAGGCUCUAGAAAGACGGCAGGAUCUCUACAGGCUCUAGAAAGACGGCAGGAUCUCUACAGGCUCUAGAAAGACGGCAGGAACUCUACAGGCUCUAGAAAGACGGCAGGAACUCUACAGGCUCUAGAAAGAAGGCAGGAUCUCUACAGGCUCUAGAAAGACUGCAGGAACUCUACAGGUUCUAGAAAGACGGCAGGAUCUCUACAGGCUCUAGAAAGACGGCAGGAUCUCUACAGGCUCUAGAAAGACGGCAGGAACUCUACAGGCUCUAGAAAGCGAGACGGGUGGAUGGGUACAGAACUCUGGGAUCAUCUUGUACUAUGUCUUUCUCGCCACACUGUGUAUAUACUGUGUACAAAUAUAUAAAUAUAUAUUUUUCUUUUAUAAAGAAGAAUUUUAAGGAAUUCUCAAAUGUGGGGAGAAAGAAAAGGUGUGGAAAGGCUGGCUUUAGUCUUUCUGUAUAGAGGGCAAAGUGUGUGUGAGAACGUGUGGGGCACGGCCUCGCACAGUAAACACAGUCCUGCUUAGUUGUUCAUCUUGUUGAUGCGGGUUGUUUAAGUCAUUGUGCAUUGUAAAGCACCUUGGCUCAGUAUAAAUGUAUGAACUGCACACAUGGAGAAACUGAAGAGCAUUAAGACCGCAACAUACGCAUGUACUUCUACAGCUUGAGAGGGGUGUCCGUUGAACACAUUUAAUGAGACGUUUCAGUUUAAGCAAACUAACUUUUUCCUAUUUUUUUUCACUCUGUAAAUGACGUGUUUCUACUUGUGACCAACUUGCAAAUAAAUUGUGAGGACAUGUCUCCAUUCAACAUUUACCCACACACAAACAGA